rnacentral:rRNA from 1 species
UACGGAGGGUGCGAGCGUUGUCCGGAAUCACUGGGCGUAAAGGGCGCGUAGGCGGCCUGAUAAGUAGGGGGUGAAAUCCUGCGGCUUAACCGCAGGGCUGCCUUCUAAACUGUCAGGCUUGAGCACAGUAGAGGCAGGUGGAAUUCCCGGUGUAGCGGUGGAAUGCGUAGAGAUCGGGAAGAACAUCAGUGGCGAAGGCGACUUCCUGGCCUGUUCUUGACGCUGAGGCGCGAAAGCUAGGGGAGCAAACGGG